CAACUCCAGAGAGGGCUGAGGAUUUGUUCUAAGGUCAAGGCCCUAAGUUCAUCCUCAGCACCAUGCACAUAGGGACCACGUUUAUUCCCCUACCUCCCACCCCUGGUCCUGGAGAUUGAAGCCAGGGCUGCAGCUUUCUACUGAGCUACAUCCUUAGUCCUUUAUAUUUUUCAAUUUUGGACAGGGUCUUGCUAAGUUGCCCAGGCUGGGCUGGAACUUGCAAUCCUCCUGCCUCAACCUGCCAGAGUGCUGGGUUUCCAGCCAUGUGCUGCCACGCCCAGCUGCACAGGCAUAAUCUCAGAUGACAUGCCAGGAUGGCACAGAAAGCACCAGACAGUGUGCUGGACAAGGCACUCACGCAACCUGGGUGGGGGGUGGGGGGGGUGCUGGGCAUAAGAGCAGCCCUGGGAUCCUCCCAGUGCAGGUGUGAUUGGCACUGAGCUGGCUUUUUAAAGUUGUGAAUAUUUACUCACCUGGGCAGAGUGGCAUACACCUUUGAUUCCAGCACUCUGGGAAUCUGAGGCAGGAGGAACGAAAGAUCAAGCCCAGCCUGGGCAACUUAGUGAGACCCUGUGUUAAAAUGAAAGGGGAGUGGCCAGGGAUUUAGCUCAGUGGUUCCACUGCGCAAGUGCAAGUUCCCGAGUUCAAUCCCUGGUCCAAAAAAAAUGAAAGGGGGCCCAGGAAUUUAGCUCAGUGCAAAGUCCUUGGGUUCGAUCUCCAGUACCACACAUACAAAAUAACUCCCAUCAAUUACACAAAUUCAUUGCAUCGCUAUGACAUUUCCAUCCAUGCAUAUAUUGUGCUAAUUUUUUUUUUUUUUAAAUACCAGGGAUCAAACUUGGUACCUUACACUUGUCAGGCAGGGGGCAGAACCACUGAGCUAAAUUCCCAGCCCAAUUAAGGAAUGCAUGAUUUUAAUUCUUUCACUGGGUCUUGAAGGACAGUGAGGAUCCAGUUCAGCCUGGAGAAGCAUGUCAUAAGAACGUCACAGGAGAGACCGACAAAGGCCCUUUGGCAGGAGACCGUCUUGGAGACCUGCAGAGGGUUGAAUAGUUCCCAAGGAGAUAUGUUACAUCCUACUCCCUGGAAGCUAUGAAGGAGAUCUUACUUGGAAAACAGGUUUUUGCAGAUGUAAUUACACUACAGAUCUCAAGAGGAGAUCACCCAGGGUAGGGCUAAGCCCUACCUACACCCAGGCACUGGUGUCCUGAGACACAGAAACAGUACGAGGCCAUGAGAAGACUGAGGCAGAGAUUGGAGAGAUAGGGCCACAACCAACAGUGUCAGCAGCCACCAGAAGCCAGGAGAAUCACCAGGCCUGCAGGGCCGUGUGGCCCACCUGCGCCCUGGCCUUCCGCCCUCCAGGCCCUGGGACACAUCAAAAACCUCAAUGGUCCUGUGAUGCUGUGAUGCUCCAGGGCAAGAUUACACCAGUUGAAGACAUCCUGGGGAGGAACAAAUUCCCAAUCAACAUAAAUUCCUCAUCAAACUAGGAUCUUCAUCCACAUAAGUUCCUCCUUGUCCUAGGAUUAUCGCUGCAGCCUUCUGAGUCGUCUGUUAUCCCAAUGUACCAAAUAAAGGUGUGG
rnacentral:lncRNA from 1 species